GGCGCCCCCUCGCGGCCCCGGGCCUGGGGGCCACGUUGCUUCGCAAGGGCCCGGCCGCGGCCUCCCCGCGGCGAUGGGGAGGCCUGGGAGGACGCAUGGUCAAAGCACACCAAGUGGGCCAUGUGCUUAUUGCACAGACGUGGCUGUGUAAUAAAGCUUUAAACCAUCACACAAGUUUAAAUAGUGAAGGAUCUCCAGUGCCACAACCACAGUGUGAAGAACAGGAGGCUCGGUACCCAUCAGGCAGCACGGAGGGAGGUGAAGGCUCCCCAGCAGUGACAGCAUCAAUAGCCAUGAUGGGCAGAGGUGGAAGAAAGACUCGUUUCCAUCCAGCAUCUGCAUGGAGAACACCAACACAGGCAAAAACAACAACUGUUCUCAGGUGACUGAGGAGCUCGUGUCAAACAGUUCAUCCAGUGGUAAUGCUGAUGAGUACCAACAAGCCAAAGGGUUCUGCGCAGCUUCAGUGAGGUUCUGAGCCCUGUAACCAUGUCCUGUAUCAAAGUGUGAUGGGCAAGUGCCAUCAACAGCCAGCUCAGAGAAAAGGGCAGCUUCCCUUCAGGUCCAAACCACAGAAACCAGUGAAGGAGGCAGGGAACAGAAGGAAGGAGGCAGGGAGCAGGUUGCUGCUUGGCCGAAGGAGUGCACACAAUCAAACGCGCUUGUUCAGCCUAACACCCAGACUGCCUGUACAUACACACCCCCGUGGGGCAUCUUGUAACAGUGAGAUGCUUUCAAAUCUACACCACAUGAGGGUCUUUUCUGUUGCUCCUGCUUCUCUUCCCAUCGCCAGCUUUGGAUCACGAGAUGGAUCAUGGGGCUGGAUGCUUGCCCUCCGUCCUGGGCUUGCGGUGGGCUUCCAACUGCUUCCAAGUUGGCAGUCCUGCUACCAGAGCGAGUAAGGAAAAUGCCAAGAAGCAUUUUUCAUCAGGAUUGGAAGAUAAGGCUUCCCAAGAACACAUCAGGGUUUGUUCCUUUGUGGGAAGGCCUGGUUUCCUAUGGAUUUCUCUUGUGUGUAACUACCAUUUUUAGUGGAUUGUGCUGUUUCUCUGUUCUUGCCUGUCUUCUCACCUGGUACAGCAGCAGGGUUGGUUUCCACUGUUCUUGUCAAUCCCACACCUCCUGUGCAUCUCUUGGCAGAGAGGGAUGAAGGGCUGAAACAGGAGGCUUUAGGGGCUGGUGGCUUUAGCACAGGGUGUGUUUUGAGUUAAUUUCUCUGUCCUCCUUCACACUUGGUAUGGAGAGAAUAAAUCACUGAUUCAUAGCAAUGGGA